GUAAAGGCAUAUUGUGCACAGUAGAUUUGCAGUACUGCACAUGCCUCAAUAGCCCAGGGACAGUGCCCCCUUCUGCUGCCAGAUUUGACUGCAAUAUCAGUGAGACAAAAGGAGUAACAAACACUGAAAGCAAUCUGCACCAGACAGCUACAAGCUAAUAUAAAUGUGCUCAGAAGAAAAGACCUCUGGCUGAAGAGAAGAAACCAAAAAAAAUUAAUGAAGCUGGUGUAAAAUUCUGCAGACGUAAAAGGAUACAAUCACCAUUGGCUUGUCAUGGAGUACAUAUCCAUGUACAUGUUUUAAAGCCUGUGCUGCUACGUUUUCAGUGGGAAAUCCUAUGAAGGCUUGGCCCUUCAUCCGUCCUUCUUUCAUCAGUCGAAUAUCAAACCUACAUACAGACACAAAAGGCAUUGUUAAGAAGUCUGUCUAUGUCAAAAUACCACUCUCUGUAACAGGAAACCGUGACAUGAAUGAAUUUCUGUGUGUAACCAAAAAAAGCAA